GAUGAACGCUGGCGGCGUGCCUAAUACAUGCAAGUCGAGCGAACGGACGAGAAGCUUGCUUCUCUGAUGUUAGCGGCGGACGGGUGAGUAACACGUGGAUAACCUACCUAUAAGACUGGGAUAACUUCGGGAAACCGGAGCUAAUACCGGAUAAUAUUUUGAACCGCAUGGUUCAAAAGUGAAAGACGGUCUUGCUGUCACUUAUAGAUGGAUCCGCGCUGCAUUAGCUAGUUGGUAAGGUAACGGCUUACCAAGGCAACGAUGCAUAGCCGACCUGAGAGGGUGAUCGGCCACACGGGAACUGAGACACGGUCCAGACUCCGACGGGAGGCAGCAGUAGGGAAUCUUCCGCAAUGGGCGAAAGCCUGACGGAGCAACGCCGCGUGAGUGAUGAAGGUCUUCGGAUCGUAAAACUCUGUUAUUAGGGAAGAACAUAUGUGUAAGUAACUGUGCACAUCUUGACGGUACCUAAUCAGAAAGCCACGGCUAACUACGU
rnacentral:rRNA from 1 species